CGCUUACGGAGGGCCUUGCGGUCCAUCAGCUAGUUGGUGGGGUAACGGCCUACCAAGGCGUCGACGGAUAGCUGGUCUGAGAGGACGAUCAGCCGGACUGGGACUGACACACGGGCCAGACUCCUACGGGAGGCAGCAGUCGGGAGUCUUGCACAAUGGGGGAAACCCUGAUGCAGCGACGUCGCGUGAGUGAAGAAGUAUUUCGGUAUGUAAACCACUUCUGAAUGGGACGAAGCCAGUGACGGUACCUGACUAAUAAGCCCCGGCUAACUACGUGCCAGCAGCCGCGGUAAUACGUAGGGGGCAAGCGUUACCCGGAUUUACUGGGUGUAAAGGGCGUGUAGGCGGUCUCUCAAGUCCGAUGCUAAAGACCAAGGCUCAACCUCGGGAGUGCGUUGGAUACUGUGAGGCUAGACGGUCGGAGAGGGUAGCGGAAUUUCCGGAGUAGCGGUGAAAUGCGCAGAUACCGGAAGGAACGCCAAUAGCGAAAGCAGCUACCUGGACGAUUUGUGACGCUGAGGCGCGAAAGCGUGGGGAGCAAACCGGAUUAGAUACCCGGGUAGUCCACGCCCUAAACGUUGAGUGCUGGGUGUCCGACAUCUGUUGGGUGCCGUAGCUAACGCGUUAAGCACUCCACCUGGGAAGUACGGUCGCAAGACUGUCGUCG
rnacentral:rRNA from 1 species